UACGUAGGGUGCGAGCGUUGUCCGGAAUUAUUGGGCGUAAAGAGCUCGUAGGCGGCUUGUUGCGUCGACUGUGAAAACCCCGCGGCUUAACUGCGGGCUUGCAGUUGAUACGGGCAGGCUAGAGUUCGGUAGGGGAGACUGGAAUUCCUGGUGUAGCGGUGAAAUGCGCAGAUAUCAGGAGGAACACCGGUGGCGAAGGCGGGUCUCUGGGCCGAUACUGACGCUGAGGAGCGAAAGCGUGGGGAGCGAACAGG
rnacentral:rRNA from 1 species